rnacentral:tRNA from 1 species
GAAAGUAUAGCUUAGUGGUAGAGCAUGUGCCUAGCAUGCAUAGGUCCUGGGUUCAAUCCCCAGUACCUCUG